rnacentral:rRNA from 1 species
AACGUAGGACACGAGCGUUAUCCGGAGUUACUGGGCGUAAAGGCGUGCAGGCGGUUUUGUAAGUUUGAUGUGAAAGCGCCCGGCUUAACCGGGCGAGGACAUUGGAGACUGCAAGACUAGAGGCAGAUAGAGGGGUGUAGAAUUCCGGGUGUAGUGGUGAAAGUGCGUAGAGAUCCGGAGGAAUACCAGAGGCGAAGGCGGCAUCCUGGACCAUUACUGACGCUGAGGCGCGAAAGCUAGGGAGCAACGGG